AUCAGCCUUUUGGGUGUGAUUUUGUGGAGUGUGAAGAGUUAAACGCCUUCAUGCCUGCAUAUUCGUGCACUUUGGGUGUACUUGCCCGUGUGGUUGGUUAACAUCAAUUUUGGUGGUCAUAAAAUGACUGGAGGAAUGUAGCUUCGAUCUCGUAUUGAAGUGUUAUAGCCUUCGGUAGAUGUGAUGAUCGAGAUUGAGGAUUGCAACGGAUACCCUUCGGGGCUACCUGUCUGGUCUCUGAUCGUUGCUCUGGUGCCGAAAGCUUGCUUACGGUUAUCAAAGUCGAUGGUCAAUAGGUUAGAACGGGUUAAAUUCGUUAAGGAUGUUGACGUAAUGGCUUU
rnacentral:rRNA from 1 species